CAGUGAGGAAUAUUUGACAGUGGGAGCAAUCGUGCUCCAUCCAUCCCGCGCGCAGGAAGACUGCCCUACGGAUUGUAAACUGCUUUUAUACAGGAAGAAAGACACACACGUGUGCGUUGUUGACGGUACUGUAAGAAUGAGUAUGGGUUAACUCCGUCCCAGCAGGCGCGGUAAUUCAGAGGAUGCGAGCGUUCUCCGGAAUCAUUGGGUUUAAAGGGUCCGUAGGCGGGAUAAUAAGUCAGUGGUGAAAGUAUGUGGCUCAACCAUAAAAUUGCCAGCGAUAGUGUUUUUCUUGAGUGAUUGAGAAGUGGUUAGAAUGAAUAGUGUAGCGGUGAAAUGCAUAGAUAUUUCUCAGAAUGCCGAUCGAGAGGGCAGAUCGCUCACAAUUCACUGACGGUGAUGGACGAAAGCGUGGGUAGCGAACAGGCUUAGAUACCUCUGCUUGUUUGCGCCGUCAGAGAUGGAUACUAGCUGUUCGGCACAAUUGAGGUCUGAGUGGCUAGCGAAAGUGAUAAGUACCCACUGGCUCUGCGUGG
rnacentral:rRNA from 1 species